rnacentral:rRNA from 1 species
GAUGAACGCUAGCGACAGGCCUAACACAUGCAAGUCGAGGGGCAGCAUUAUUAAAGCUUGCUUUAAUAGAUGGCGACCGGCGCACGGGUGCGUAACGCGUAUGCAACCUACCCAUUACAGGAGGAUAGCCCAGAGAAAUUUGGAUUAAUACUCCAUGGUAUUUAUGAGAAGCAUUUCUUAUAUUUUAAAAGAUUCGUCUGGUAAUGGAUGGGCAUGCGUAUGAUUAGUUAGUUGGUGGGGUAACGGCCUACCAAGACGACGAUCAUUAGGGGUUCUGAGAGGAUAGUCCCCCACACUGGUACUGAGAUACGGACCAGACUCCUACGGGAGGCAGCAGUGAGGAAUAUUGGUCAAUGGGCGAGAGCCUGAACCAGCCAAGUCGCGUGCAGGAUGACUGCCCUAUGGGUUGUAAACUGCUUUUAUAUAGGAAUAAUUGUUUUUACGUGUAAGAAUUUGAAUGUACUAUAUGAAUAAGCACCGGCUAACUCCGUGCCAGCAGCCGCGGUAAUACGGAGGGUGCAAGCGUUAUCCGGAUUUAUUGGGUUUAAAGGGUGCGUAGGCGGGUUCAUAAGUCAGUGGUGAAAGUCUGUCGCUCAACGAUAGAACUGCCAUUGAAACUGUGGAUCUUGAAUACAGUAGAGGUAGGCGGAAUAUAUUGUGUAGCGGUGAAAUGCAUAGAUACGAUAUAGAACACCUAUUGCGAAGCAGCUUACUAUGCUGUAAUUGACGCUGAUGCACGAAAGCGUGGGGAGCGAACAGG